rnacentral:misc_RNA from 1 species
AACAAGCGAGAACAGUUUCAUCUCUUCACACAAAGCAAGAGGAUCAGUGAGUUCAGAAAGCUCAAACAAACACAGAAAGCCAAGAAUCAAAGAAAAUAGCUUAGUAGCUAGGAGGAGAUCUGUAUCAGUGCAUAUGUAUAAAAACAUACAACUGUCAAUAAAAACAUAAGAUAAAUAAUUUAGCAAUAUUAAUUUUAUUAAUAUUAUUUUAGCUAAAUUUCAACGUUUCAGAUUUUA